rnacentral:rRNA from 1 species
CCUACGGGAGACUGCAGUGAGGAAUAUUGGUCAAUGGGCGCGAGCCUGAACCAGCCAAGUAGCGUGAAGGAUGCCUGCCCUACGGGUUGUAAACUUCUUUUAUAAAGGAAUAAAGUGAGGCACGUGUGCCUUUUUGUAUGUACUUUAUGAAUAAGGAUCGGCUCAAUCCGUUCCAUCAGCCACGGUAAUACGGAGGAUCCGAGCGUUUUCAGGAUUUAUUGGGUUUAAAGGGAACGUAGAUGGGUUGUUAAGUCAGUUGGGAAAGUUUGCGGCUCAACCGUAAAAUUGCAGUUGAUACUGGCAGCCUUGAGUACAGUUGAGGUAGGCGGAAUUCGUGGUGUAGCGGUGAAAUGCUUAGAUAUCACGAAGAACUCCGAUUGCGAAGGCAGCUUACUAAACUGCCACUGACAUUGAUGCUCGAAAGUGUGGGUAUCAAACAGGAUUAGAUACCCGAGUAGUC